CUCGUGUCGUGAGAUGUUGGGUUAAGUCCCGCAACGAGCGCAACCCUUGACCUUAGUUGCCAGCAUUSAGUUGGGCACUCUAAGGUGACUGCCGGUGACAAACCGGAGGAAGGUGGGGAUGACGUCAAAUCAUCAUGCCCCUUAUGACCUGGGCUACACACGUGCUACAAUGGAUGGUACAAAGGGCUGCGAGACCGCGAGGUUAAGCCAAUCCCAGAAAACCAUUCCCAGUUCGGAUUGCAGGCUGCAACCCGCCUGCAUGAAGCCGGAAUCGCUAGUAAUCGCGGAUCAGCAUGCCGCGGUGAAUACGUUCCCGGGCC
rnacentral:rRNA from 1 species